rnacentral:misc_RNA from 1 species
AUCGGUAGUGUACAAGAAAAUUAAGGGGCAUAUAAGUGUAAGCAAACCGAAUCAAAAUGGCUUAGGCUAUUUUUGUGAUGGGGAGCCUAGUUUAACGUGUAGCCUACGAGUUUGAUAUUCAUACUCUUGGAUCCAUAAUUCUCAAUAGUUCUAAACUGAACCUUUUAGGACCAUAUGUGUGAUGCCUUUCUAUCUUCAUUCGUCCCCCACAAAUGAUAAGGUGUGAACUGUGAACCAUGAUGAAUUACACAGUCAUGAUCUAUUGCCAUUAUUUUGGUAAUGCUCCCAUGUAAACGAUCUUGAAGUUGGCCUACUAUAGCUAUCCAUUCAAAUUAGUUGGUGUGGUAUCUCUUUUUAUAAAAUUGCUACCUAGUAAAGUUCUUUUGGGCCUACAUAGGGUAAAUAGAGGAUGAAGUUGUCAUGCCAAAGUCAAACAUCGGAAGGAAUGAACUAUGGAAACACAAAACUCAAAAUGAUGGGAAGUAGAUUAUAAUCAUCAUAGUUGUGAAAGGCUCGCUUGAGGCAAGAGGUGCACCAAGCAAGGAAGACAUUGCCUCAAACCUGCAAAGGCGGGUGACCUCACAGAGGCGCACCCAAGCGCCGGCAGGUGCUAGGCGCAUCCCAGUGAGGUCAGCUCCACUCCACCAUUGCAGAAAGUCGAUUGGUAAAAUAAAGAAGAAGAAGAAGAAGA